AUUGAACGCUGGCGGCAGGCUUAACACAUGCAAGUCGAGCGGGGUAAGGUAGCUUGCUACCGGACCUAGCGGCGGACGGGUGAGUAAUGCUUAGGAAUCUGCCUAUUAGUGGGGGACAACAUCUCGAAAGGGAUGCUAAUACUGCAUACGUCCUACGGGAGCAAGCAGCGGAUCUUCGGACCUUGCGCCAAUAUAUGAGCCUAAGUCGGAUUAGCUAGUUGGUGGGGUAGAGGGCUACCGAGGCGACGAUCUGUAGCGGGUCUGGGAGGAUGAUACGCCACACUGGGACUGAGACACGGCCCACACUCCUACGGGAGGCAGCAGUGGGGAAUAUUGGACAAUGGGGGGAACCCUGAUCCAGCCAUGCCGCGUGUGUGAAGAAGGCCUUAUGGUUGUAAAGCACUUUAAGCGAGGAGGAGGCUACUUUAGUUAAUACCUAGAGAUAGUGGACGUUACUCGCAGAAUAAGCACCGGCUAACUCUGUGCCAGCCGCCGCCGUAG
rnacentral:rRNA from 1 species